UACGUAGGGGGCAAGCGUUGUCCGGAUUUAUUGGGCGUAAAGAGCUCGUAGGCGGUUCCGUAAGUCGUGAAGUCAAAUCUCUGGGCUCAACCCAGAAUCGCUUCCGAUACUGCGGUGACUGGAGUCCGGUAGGGGAGUGUGGAAUUCCUGGUGUAGCGGUGAAAUGCGCAGAUAUCAGGAGGAACACCAACAGCGAAGGCGGGUUGCUGGGCCGACACUGACGCUGAUGCGCGAAAGCCAGGGGAGCGAACGGG
rnacentral:rRNA from 1 species